CCGGAGAAUGUUAUCACGGGAGACACACGGCGGGUGCUAACGUCCGUCGUGAAGAGGGAAACAACCCAGACCGCCAGCUAAGGUCCCAAAGUCAUGGUUAAGUGGGAAACGAUGUGGGAAGGCCCAGACAGCCAGGAUGUUGGCUUAGAAGCAGCCAUCAUUUAAAGAAAGCGUAAUAGCUCACUGGUCGAGUCGGCCUGCGCGGAAGAUGUAACGGGGCUAAACCAUGCACCGAAGCUGCGGCAGCGACGCUUAUGCGUUGUUGGGUAGGGGAGCGUUCUGUAAGCCUGCGAAGGUGUGCUGUGAGGCAUGCUGGAGGUAUCAGAAGUGCGAAUGCUGACAUAAGUAACGAUAAAGCGGGUGAAAAGCCCGCUCGCCGGAAGACCAAGGGUUCCUGUCCAACGUUAAUCGGGGCAGGGUGAGUCGACCCCUAAGGCGAGGCCGAAAGGCGUAGUCGAUGGGAAACAGGUUAAUAUUCCUGUACUUGGUGUUACUGCGAAGGGGGGAC
rnacentral:rRNA from 1 species